ACUCCUAAUGGCUGUCUUUUUAGUUCCCCUGUGGAGAUAGCAAUCAUUUAUCUGAUUGGUCAGUUUGGAACGCGCAGUCCUUGGACGGCCUCUUCCUUUUGCGGAAACUGCUCAUCGGAAGUACCUGUUUAACCGGACCCCUCCAGGCUGUAAAACGGAAAGGCUGAGAAUUUGCCUCUGCGCCAUCUUCUUUUGGCUGUUACCCGUGACGUCGUUGGAAGCAGACUCUGAAACUUUCUGAGGAGAUCAUUUGGGCUUCAGAUUUCUAACAGGUUGUGUCAUGUCCUGCUUGAGUCAGAUGUAUAGGCAUUAUUGUGAGUAUGUAUGCGUAUUAUUAUGUCUUACUGAGAAGUGACAACCUGCUAGCAGCCCUCGCUCUCGGGGCUUCCUCAGACUUGGCAUAUGCUCUGG